rnacentral:rRNA from 1 species
GGUUAAGCGACUAAGCGUACACGGUGGAUGCCCUGGCAGUCAGAGGCGAUGAAGGACGUGCUAAUCUGCGAUAAGCGUCGGUGAGGUGAUAUGAACCGUUAUAACCGGCGAUUUCCGAAUGGGGAAACCCAGUGUGUUUCGACACACUAUCAUUAACUGAAUCCAUAGGUUAAUGAGGCGAACCGGGGGAACUGAAACAUCUAAGUACCCCGAGGAAAAGAAAUCAACCGAGAUUCCCCCAGUAGCGGCGAGCGAACGGGGAGGAGCCCAGAGCCUGAAUCAGUGUGUGUGUUAGUGGAAGCGUCUGGAAAGGCGUGCGAUACAGGGUGACAGCCCCGUACACAAAAAUGCACAUAUUGUGAGCUCGAUGAGUAGGGCGGGACACGUGGUAUCCUGUCUGAAUAUGGGGGGACCAUCCUCCAAGGCUAAAUACUCCUGACUGACCGAUAGUGAACCAGUACCGUGAGGGAAAGGCGAAAAGAACCCCGGCGAGGGGAGUGAAAAAGAACCUGAAACCGUGUACGUACAAGCAGUGGGAGCCUCUUAAUGGGGUGACUGCGUACCUUUUGUAUAAUGGGUCAGCGACUUAUAUUCUGUAGCAAGGUUAACCGAAUAGGGGAGCCGAAGGGAAACCGAGUCUUAACUGGGCGUUAAGUUGCAGGGUAUAGACCCGAAACCCGGUGAUCUAGCCAUGGGCAGGUUGAAGGUUGGGUAACACUAACUGGAGGACCGAACCGACUAAUGUUGAAAAAUUAGCGGAUGACUUGUGGCUGGGGGUGAAAGGCCAAUCAAACCGGGAGAUAGCUGGUUCUCCCCGAAAGCUAUUUAGGUAGCGCCUCGUGAAUUCAUCUCCGGGGGUAGAGCACUGUUUCGGCAAGGGGGUCAUCCCGACUUACCAACCCGAUGCAAACUGCGAAUACCGGAGAAUGUUAUCACGGGAGACACACGGCGGGUGCUAACGUCCGUCGUGAAGAGGGAAACAACCCAGACCGCCAGCUAAGGUCCCAAAGUCAUGGUUAAGUGGGAAACGAUGUGGGAAGGCCCAGACAGCCAGGAUGUUGGCUUAGAAGCAGCCAUCAUUUAAAGAAAGCGUAAUAGCUCACUGGUCGAGUCGGCCUGCGCGGAAGAUGUAACGGGGCUAAACCAUGCACCGAAGCUGCGGCAGCGACACUAUGUGUUGUUGGGUAGG